AUUGAACGCUAGCGGGAUGCCUUACACAUGCAAGUCGAACGGAGUUGCGAACGGGUGCGUAAUGUAUCGGCAGGUGCCCCGUAGCGGGGGAUAACUACGCGAAAGCGUAGCUAAUACCGCAUACUACUCGAGCGGCCGAUAUCGGAUUCGCUAGUUGGUGGGGUAACGGCUCACCAAGGCGACGAUCCGUAGCUGGAUUGAGAGGACGGCCAGCCACACUGGGACUGAGACACGGCCCAGAAUCCUACGGGAGGCAGCAGUGGGGAAUUUUGGACAAUGGGGGAAACCCUGAUCCAGCCGUCCCGCGUGUGCGAUGAAGGCCUGCGGGUUGUAAAGCACUGUUGGCAGGAAAGCGGUACCUGCAGAAUAAGCACCGGCUAACUACGUGCCAGCAGCCGCGGUAAUUC
rnacentral:rRNA from 1 species